GGGUGCGACCCCUAGCUCCUCUUAAAUGCAUUAGCUGGAACCUUUAUGUGCUUCUUUGGUGUGAUAAUAUCUACUCCAUCUGAUUCACAGAGUCAAAGUUGCUUGCAGCUUUGACUACAAGGAUCUGCUUCCAAUGGUCCUUUCAGGACACCCCCUUGACAUCUGACCUCAAAUCAGGUAGGACUACCCGCUGAACUUAA
rnacentral:misc_RNA from 1 species